UCAAGAACCAGAAACCUGAUUCAUAUGACUGAAACCUCUCUGACCCAGGAAUAUUGUCUUGGGUCAUAUAAUCUCUUCCUCCUCUGUGUUUGUAGAAGGGACACAAAGAUAUUUCAAAAUCCUGCCAACACAACUCAGGACCAAGCUGAGACUUUCUUUGGGCCACAAGUGACAGACGUGAAACAAUUUCCUUCUUAAGAUGGUGACUUAUCCAAUAGAUCACUAUAGAAAAUCACCUAUGAUGGACAAAAGUCAUAAAGAAUUUCCCCCCAGAGUAGACGGCGUAGACACUUUGCCUGCAAUUCACAUACUCUACCUCUUAGUGGCAUUCUUUAUUAUUGAAGUAUUCCAGAGGGAAUAUCAUAAAAAUG